rnacentral:rRNA from 1 species
UACGGAGGGGGCUAGCGUUGUCCGAAGUUACUGGGCGUAAAGCGCGCGUAGGCGGGUUGGUAAGUCCGCUGUGAAAGCCCGGAGCUCAACUCCGGAGGGUCGGUGGAUACUGCCAGUCUUGAAGGUGCUAGGGGGAGAUGGAAUUACCGGUGUAGCGGUGAAAUGCGUAGAUAUCGGGAGGAACACCAGUGGCGAAGGCGACUACCUGGCCUGUUCUUGACGCUGAGGCGCGAAAGCUAGGGGAGCAAACGGG